rnacentral:rRNA from 1 species
CCGGUUGUGACGCCAGUCGCAUUGCCGGGUAGCUACGUUCGGACGGGAUAAGCGCUGAAAGCAUCUAAGCGCGAAGCCUCUUCCAAGAUUAAUUCUCACUGAUUCUUUAAGAAUCCUGAAGGGCCCUUGAAGACUACAAGGUUGAUAGGCACGGUGUGGAAGCGCAGUAAUGUGUGAAGCUAACGUGUACUAAUUGCCCGUGAGGCUUGACCAUAUAACACCCAAAAGGGUU